rnacentral:lncRNA from 1 species
AAUCCCUACCUUUUUUCAUUGUAUGACUUUUACGCUUACACGAUUUUUUUAAUUACUCAUUUUCAAAUAAAAUAGCUUUAAAAAUUUAAAGUGUGAAAAAAUAGUAGUCGGUAGAUUAUAAGUUUUUAUUUUAUUUUUAUGUUGACUAUAUGAGAUAAAGACAUUAAUUUUAUUCUUUAACCACAAAUAUGUAUCUUGUAUAUAAUUUUUAUAAUAUUAUAAUUAUAAUUAUUUUUAUUUAAGAAAUAG